rnacentral:rRNA from 1 species
GAUGAACGCUAGCGGCAGGCCUAACACAUGCAAGUCGAGGGAGAAGCCCUUUCGGGGGCAGAAACCGGCGCACGAGUGCGUAACGCGUAUGCAACCUACCUUUCACAGGGGGAUAGCCCGAAGAAAUUUGGAUUAAUACCCCAUAAUAUUAUUGGAUGGCAUCAUUUGAUAAUUAAAACUGCGGUGGUGAAAGAUGGGCAUGCGUCCUAUUAGCUAGUUGGAGUGGUAACGGCACCCCAAGGCUACGAUAGGUAGGGGUCCUGAGAGGGAGAUCCCCCACACUGGUACUGAGACAGGGACCAGACUCCUACGGGAGGCAGCAGUGAGGAAUAUUGGUCAAUGGUCGGAAGACUGAACCAGCCAUGCCGCGUGCAGGAAGAAUGCCUUAUGGGUUGUAAACUGCUUUUAUAUGGGAAGAAUAAGGCGUACGUGUACGUUGAUGACGGUACCAUAUGAAUAAGCAUCGGCUAACUCCGUG